UGAGGUAUGUAGGGAUUUCUCUUCUCUUCUUGGCAUGACUAGAAUUCAAAUGAGCUUUCAUUGAAAAGUUAUUUCCGUUAACUUGUGUCGACCACGUUCAAUAAUGAUCGAGCUAAUCUCUACUUCAUAUAUGACUUGUGUCAAAGUACUUUCUAUGGUUCCACAUCUCUUUUGGUUAACGAUUGAACGACCUUCCGUUAACUUGUAUAAACCACAUUCCGAAAUAGUUAAGAUCAUCUCUUCUCAUGAAUAGCUUAUAUUGGAAUAAUUUCCCGCAGUUCGUAUCUAUUGUUUGUCAAUUGAAGAAUGAUGUUCAUUAUGGUACUCUUCACGUCAAAGUUGAGGCAGUUGUAUUUCCAAUCAUUUGAGUUGAUCUUUACCUCACGUGUAAUCCGUAUCAAGUAUAUUUCAUAUUCUUUACAUUUAUGGUCUUCUUGAUUGAAAGCUAAAGAGCGUAGCAACAAUAAUGAAAAUCGGAGGGUAACAACGACAGGUCACUCCGACUCUUUCCAUGAUAUUUCUUCUGAGGUACGGUAGACAGAUUGGUGUACCUUUCUCUGUAGGAUACCAGCGUUCAGCAGGGAUGUUCGCACUCCAUUCUCCGGAGUUGCUGGUUAGAGUCAUCAAUAUAUAUAUAUAUACAUAUAUAUUACGAGUACGACUAUAGCUACGUCGGGGCCACUGUCCCGACCAGUUGAUGCAUAUUAGUGCUCUAAGAGGCUUACAAACUACCAGUCAGUGUACAGACACCAGCCUAUCAAACAAUACAAUGCAAGGGAAUCAAAGAUGCGUUAAGGUUUUACAAUCUCAAAUUUUCUUCUUCAUAACCCAUGCCUCAAAAGAGAAGAGAAGAAUUCAAUGAAUAAUGAUAGUGGAAGAGAAAUCGCUCAAAUUGUGCGAGGAUAGAGUAAUGAAGAACAUGGAACCCUCUUUGACCUUAGAGGAAAAGAUUUAUCAAUUGACACUAUGAACAUAGCAACGAGCCAGGGAGGACAUUGAAGUUUGUUAAAUAAAUAUUCUUACAACUAUUUAGUUAUGUCCAUUAAGUUAAUUAAAUGCAUCGAAAACGUUUUGGUUUUACCACUUAUAUUACGCUUUUUAUCCCUUUAUAGUAUGAGCCUUAAAUGGAAACU